rnacentral:rRNA from 1 species
UACGAAGGGGGCUAGCGUUGUUCGGAUUUACUGGGCGUAAAGCGCACGUAGGCUGAUCGUUAAGUCGGGGGUGAAAUCCUGGAGCUCAACUCCAGAACUGCCUUCGAUACUGGCGAUCUUGAGUCCGGAAGAGGUGAGUGGAGCUCCUAGUGUAGAGGUGGAAUUCGUAGAUAUUAGGAAGAACACCAGUGGCGAAGGCGGCUCACUGGUCCGGUACUGACGCUGAGGUGCGAAAGCGUGGGGAGCAAACAGG